rnacentral:rRNA from 1 species
CACGUAGGCGGCCAUUCAAGUCAGAGGUGAAAGCCCGGGGCUCAACCCCGGAACUGCCUUUGAAACUAGAUGGCUUGAAUCUUGGAGAGGCGAGUGGAAUUCCGAGUGUAGAGGUGAAAUUCGUAGAUAUUCGGAGGAACACCAGUGGCGAAGGCGGCUUACUGGUCCAUUACUGACGCUGAGGUGCGAAAGCGUGGGGAGCAAACA